AUUGAACGCUGGCGGCAGGCCUAACACAUGCAAGUCGAACGAGUGGCGGACGGGUGAGUAAUGUCUGGGAAACUGCCUUAUGGAGGGGUAUCACUACUGAAAACGGUCGCUAAUACCGCAUCCCAUCAGAUGUGCCCAUAUGGUUUUAGCUUGUUGGUGGGGUAACGGCUCACCAAGGCGACGAUCCCUAGCUGGUUUGAGAGGAUGACCAGCCACACUGGAACGGAGACACGGUCCAGACUCCUACGGGAGGCAGCAGUGGGGAAUAUUGCACAAUGGGCGCAAGCCUGAUGCAGCCAUGCCGCGUGUAUGAAGAAGGCCUUCGGGUUGUAAAGUACUUUCAGUGGGGAGGCGUUACCCGCAGAAGAAGCACCGGCUAACUCCGUGCCAGCAGCCGCGGUAAUUC
rnacentral:rRNA from 1 species